GAGGAUAUAGCUCAAGUGGUAGAGUGCAUGCCUAGCAUGCACAAGGUUCCUGGGUUCAAUCCCCACUAUCUCCC
rnacentral:tRNA from 1 species